rnacentral:rRNA from 1 species
AGAAUCAACGCUGGCGGCGUGCCUCAGACAUGCAAGUCGAACGAUUAAAGCUCCCUUCGGGGAGUGCAUAAAGUGGCGCACGGGUGAGUAACACGUAAGUAAUCUACCCUCGGGUGGGGAAUAACGUCCGGAAACGGACGCUAAUACCGCAUAAUGCAGCGGCACCGCAAGGUGACAGUUGUUAAAGAUUUAUUGCCUGGGGAGGAGCUUGCGGCAGAUUAGCUUGUUGGUAAGGUAACGGCUUACCAAGGCUACGAUCUGUAUCCGGUCUAAGAGGACGGUCGGACACACUGACACUGAAUAACGGGUCAGACUCCUACGGGAGGCAGCAGUCGGGAAUUUGGCAAUGGAGGAACCUGACCCAGCAACGCGCGUGAAGGAUGAAGUAUUUCGGUAUAGUAAACUUACGAAAGAAUAAGGAAGAAUUAAUAGAACGUUACUAAUUUAAUAAGGUCCGACUAACUACGUGACCAGCAGCCGC